rnacentral:rRNA from 1 species
GAUUAUGGCUUAGGACGAACGCUGGCGGCGUGCCUAACACAUGCAAGUCGAGCGGGGACAUGCGACGGAUAGGAAGAUUCGGUUGGAAUUGAAGAUGCAUGUCUAGCGGCGGACGGGUGAGUAACGCGUGAGCAACCUGUCCCUUACAGGGGGAUAACACAGCGAAAGUUGUACUAAUACCGCAUAAGACCACGGGAGGACAUCCUUCAGGGGUCAAAGGAGGAAUCCGGUAAGGGGUGGGCUCGCGUCCGAUUAGAUAGUUGGUGAGGUAACGGCCCACCAAGUCGACGAUCGGUAGCCGACCUGAGAGGGUGAUCGGCCACAUUGGGACUGAGACACGGCCCAAACUCCUACGGGAGGCAGCAGUGGGGAAUAUUGGGCAAUGGGGGGAACCCUGACCCAGCAACGCCGCGUGAGGGAAGAAGGUUUUCGGAUCGUAAACCUCUGUCCUUGGUGAAGAGGAAGAGACGGUAGCCAAGGAGGAAGCCCCGGCUAACUACGUGCCAGCAGCAGC